rnacentral:rRNA from 1 species
UAUAAGUACAAUUCAUCUGAAUGAAACCGCGGAAAGCUCAUUAUAACAGCUAUAAUCUACACGGCAAUUAUUCUUAAUUGGAUAACUGAGGUAAUUCUUGAGCUAAUACACGCUUUAAUGCCACAUUCGUGGUGCGUUUAUUUGACUAGACAUCAUAUUGGUUGACUCAAAAUAUCCUUGCUAAUUUUUUUUUUAAAAAUAUGCCGUAUGAGUAUCUGCUUUAUCAACUUUCGAUGGUAGGGUAUUGGCCUACCAUGGUGUUGACGGAUAACGGAGAAUUAGGGUUCGACUCCGGAGAGGGAGCCUGAGAAACGGCUACCACAUCCAAGGAAGGCAGCAGGCGCGAAAAUUACCCAAUCUUAGUUAAAGGAGGUAGUGACGAAAAAUGACAAAGCAACACUUUUUAAGUGUUGUUAUUGGAAAUCUUGCAACCUAAAUAGUUGCUUGGUAAAGGAGAGGGCCAGUCUGGUGCCAGCAGCCGCGGUAAUACCAGCUCUCCAAGUGCAUAAAAUGAUUGUUGUGGUUAAAAAGCUCGUAGUUGGAUUUAUUGAAUAAGUUCAGAGUCAUGUAUAUGGCUUCUGAAAUGUUCAUACUUUUGCAAUUAGCAAUAAUUGCCUGUUACUUUGAAUAAAUCAGAGUGUUCAAAACAGUCAUAUGACUGAAUAUCCUAGCAUGGAAUAACACUAUAGAAGUAUAUGUAGUGCGGUGUUUCACACAUUACUUCAUGGUUAAUAGAAACAAACGGGGGCAUUCGUAUCGAUACGUUAGAGGUGAAAUUCUUGGACCGUAUCGAGACGUCCUACUGCGAAAGCA